rnacentral:rRNA from 1 species
UGGGGAAUUGUUCACAAUGGGCGCAAGCCUGAUGACGCAACGCCGCGUGGAGGAUGAAGGUCUUCGGAUUGUAAACUCCUGUUGCCCGGGACGAAAAGCUCCGACCUAACACGUCGGAGUCUGACGGUACCGGGUGAGGAAGCCCCGGCUAACUCUGUGCCAGCAGCCGCGGUAAUACAGAGGGGGCAAGCGUUGUUCGGAAUUACUGGGCGUAAAGGGCGCGUAGGCGGCCUGUUAAGUCAGACGUGAAAUCCCCGGGCUCAACCCGGGAACUGCGUCUGAUACUGGUAGGCUUGAAUCCGGGAGAGGGAUGCGGAAUUCCAGGUGUAGCGGUGAAAUGCGUAGAUAUCUGGAGGAACACCGGUGGCGAAGGCGGCAUCCUGGACCGGCAUUGACGCUGAGGCGCGAAAGCCAGGGGAGCAAACGGGAUUAGAUACCCCGGUAGUCCUGGCCCUAAACGAUGAAUGCUUGGUGUGGCGGGUAUCGAUCCCUGCUGUGCCGAAGCUAACG